rnacentral:rRNA from 1 species
GACGAACGCUGGCGGCGCGCUUAACACAUGCAAGUCGAGCGAAGCGGCGGACGGGUGAGCAACACGUGAGUAACCUGCCUUAGACAUUGGGAUAGCCUCGGGAAACCGGGAUUAAUACCAAAUGGUCUAAGAUGGACUUGCGUCCCAUUAGCUAGUUGGUUUGGAACGGCUCACCAAGGCGACGAUGGGUAGCCGGCCUGAGAGGGUGAACGGCGACAUUGGAACUGAGAAACGGUCCAAACUCUGCGGGAGGCAGUGGUGGGGAAUAUUGCACAAUGGAGGGAACUCUGAUGCAGCGAGGCCGCGUGAACGAAGAAGGCUUGCGAGUCGUAAAGUUCUUUUAUAUGGGAAGCGGUACCAUAAGAAAAAGCCCCGGCUAACUACGUGCCAGCAGCCGCGGUAAUAC